UGGGGAAUAUUGGACAAUGGGCGAAAGCCUGAUCCAGCCAUGCCGCGUGUGUGAAGAAGGUCUUCGGAUUGUAAAGCACUUUAAGUUGGGAGGAAGGGCAUUAACCUAAUACGUUAGUGUUUUGACGUUACCGACAGAAUAAGCACCGGCUAACUCUGUGCCAGCAGCCGCGGUAAUACAGAGGGUGCAAGCGUUAAUCGUAAUUACUGGGCGUAAAGCGCGCGUAGGUGGUUUGUUAAGUUGGAUGUGAAAUCCCCGGGCUCAACCUGGGAACUGCAUUCAAAACUGACUGACUAGAGUAUGGUAGAGGGUGGUGGAAUUUCCUGUGUAGCGGUGAAAUGCGUAGAUAUAGGAAGGAACACCAGUGGCGAAGGCGACCUCCUGGACUAAUACUGACACUGAGGUGCGAAAGCGUGGGGAGCAAACA
rnacentral:rRNA from 1 species